GUCAUAUUGUGCUGCUCCUGCACCAUGUUAACAGCAAUCUCGAUGAGUGCAAUCGCUACCAAUGGUGUUGUACCAGGUGACUGAUCAUGUCAGUUGGAAUGCUGCUACUGAAUCUUAUCCUGUUUAAGGUGGCCAACUGUGAUUGAAUGUAUUCCUGGAGGCUUCAUCCCGUGACUUGCCUGCACACUCCAGCUCUUAGUCAGCCAACACAUCAAUCCUGUGACACCCUGCCUUCCUACAACAACUAGAAAAUAAAAUUAUUCUUCACUCAAAUGGAUGAUGCUUAAUUGUCAGCCUUUCUUCCCAUCUUCAAUAUUUUCUAAUCUAUUAAAGAGAAACCUUCAAAGUGACUGACUAAAAGAAUUUUAUUUAAUGGCCCAAUGAUUAUUCUCCAGGGCUGCACACAGCAAUGUCGUGACUACUGAUCUUCAGUUCCUAGAGACUCCAUGUCAGUCCUGGAUAGUUGGCAACUCAAGACCUGGGUUAUUAUAACUCCUGGUCCUUAUUCAAAUCCCACUGGUAGUAAAACCAUACUGCCCAGAGACUGUCUGCCAAAACCAGGGGAGUGGUGAGAUUUAAUUUUUCUUUAUUCUUUCAGGAACUGUGAAUGUCACUGGCUCGACUAGCAUUUACUGCCCAUCUCUAGUUGCCCUUGAACAGAGUGGCUUGACCAUCCAUUUCUGAGGACAGUUAAAAGUCAGUCACACUGUUAUGGAUCUGCAGUCACAUCUAGAUUAUACCAGGUAAGGACAAUAGAUUGUCCUUCCCUAAAAACAGUACCGAAUCAGACUGGCUUUAACAACUGACAAUGAUUUCAUGGCCACUAUUAGACAAACCUUUCCUUCCAGAGUUCACUGAUUGUGUUCAAAUUUUACUAGUUGUCAUGAUGGGAUUUGAACACAUUUUCCCAGACCAUUAAACUGGGCCUCUGGAUUAAUAGUUUAGUGACUACCUUCCCCUUCAACUGAUAGGUGCUUUGAUAUUACAGAUAUCUGUGAUCAAUCCAGCAUAUACCUUCAAUUGAGUUAAAUGAUAGCAUCAGUGUAACAUUAUGCCAAGUGAUAUUUCUUUAUAAAGAUAUCAGCUCAAUCUCAAGUGCAGACUGCUGCAAUUUCUAAUCCAUUGGGCAAGUCAGUUAGUCAACCAGCUUGAGUCCAGAUGACAUCAGUGUCAGUCAUCAGUAAUACUUUACAUUCAUGUAUGUACAGUUCUACAUUUAUGUUUUCAGUUGGCACAAGAAUUGAGAAAAUAUUUGCUUAAUCAUAUCUAAAAUGAA